rnacentral:piRNA from 1 species
UGUCCCUCGUCUUGGUGAUGUCCAG